rnacentral:rRNA from 1 species
AUUGAACGCUGGCGGCAUGCCUAACACAUGCAAGUCGAACGGUAACAGACCGCUGGGAUCCCUUCGGGGUGCGUUUUUGGACGUCGAGUGGCGGACGGGUGAGUAAUACAUAGGAAUCUACCCAGUAGCGGGGGACAACUUGGGGAAACUCAAGCUAAUACCGCAUACGCCCUACGGGGGAAAGCGGGGGACCUUCGGGCCUCGCACUAUUGGAUGAGCCUAUGUCUGAUUAGCUUGUUGGUGGGGUAAUGGCUUACCAAGGCAACGAUCAGUAGCUGGUCUGAGAGGACGAUCAGCCACACUGGGACUGAGACACGGCCCAGACUCCUACGGGAGGCAGCAGUGGGGAAUAUUGCACAAUGGGCGGAAGCCUGAUGCAGCAAUGCCGCGUGUGUGAAGAAGGCCUGCGGGUUGUAAAGCACUUUCAGUAGGGAGGAAACAGUAACGGGUUAAUACCCCGGUACCUUGACGUUACCUACAGAAGAAGCACCGGCUAACUCUGUG